GGAACGUCGGUGACCGUUUCUUCGUGCGCGUCUUCCCCGCUGGCCCCAGCGCGCCACCCUCCUUCUUCACGUUGCGAUCUUUCGGGUCAGAGAACGCCUUGUCGGUCGGCGCCGCCGCGGUGAUCAUCGCGGCAUGGCGAGACUCCGGCGGGCCGAGCAGUCUGUAGUCUGCGGUGUCAGCCAUCGAGGUCAGUCAGCACAGUUUGAACUGGAAAUGGUGCAGGCUCGGAAAUAUAUGGUGUGAGGUUUCGUGGCAGGCAAGGAGACUGCCAUCGUGUCCG
rnacentral:lncRNA from 1 species